rnacentral:piRNA from 1 species
GCACUCUGUAUGGGCCUGGUAAAGGAGGA